rnacentral:rRNA from 1 species
UACGUAGGUCCCGAGCGUUGUCCGGAUCUAUUGGGCGUAAAGCGAGCGCAGGUGGUUUAUUAAGUCUGGUGUAAAAGGCAGUGGCUCAACCAUUGUAUGCAUCGGAAACUGGUAGACUUGAGUGCAGGAGAGGAGAGUGGAAUUCCAUGUGUAGCGGUGAAAUGCGUAGAUAUAUGGAGGAACACCGGUGGCGAAAGCGGCUCUCUGGCCUGUAACUGACACUGAGGCUCGAAAGCGUGGGGAGCAAACAGG